rnacentral:lncRNA from 1 species
AAUUUUAAUAAGAAAAAUUUCAUUGUGAUUUAUUCACCCCCUCCCCCCUUCUAGCUAGUUGCCCUAGUCUAACACCCUAAGACAACCCUACACAAAAGAGGUUAUCUCUCAUUUUACUUUUUUAGCAAGUACAAUUAGCGCCUACAACGAGACCUGGGUAAAAAUGACCUAGGUCACACCCAUCUUUUAUCAUCUGCCUCAUCCAUCUUAUGCAUUAUGAUGGCAAAU